rnacentral:rRNA from 1 species
GAUGAACGCUGGCGGCGUGCCUAAUACAUGCAAGUCGAGCGAACGGACGAGAAGCUUGCUUCUCUGAUGUUAGCGGCGGACGGGUGAGUAACACGUGGAUAACCUACCUAUAAGACUGGGAUAACUUCGGGAAACCGGAGCUAGUACCGGAUAAUAUUUUGAACCGCAUGGUUCAAAAGUGAAAGACGGUCUUGCUGUCACUUAUAGAUUGAUCCGCGCUGCAUUAGCUAGUUGGUAAGGUAACGGCUUACCAAGGCAACGAUGCAUAGCCGACCUGAGAGGGUGAUCGGCCACACUGGAACUGAGACACGGUCCAGACUCCUACGGGAGGCAGCAGUAGGGAAUCUUCCGCGAUGGGCGAAAGCCUGACGGAGCAACGCCGCGUGAGUGAUGAAGGUCUUCGGAUCGUAAAACUCUGUUAUUAGGGAAGAAAAUAUGUGUAAGUAACUGUGCACAUCUUGACGGUACCUAAUCAGAAAGCCACGGCUAACUACGUG